rnacentral:rRNA from 1 species
AGAGUUUGAUCAUGGCUCAGAUUGAACGCUGGCGGCGUGCCUAACACAUGCAAGUCGAGCGGUAACAGGUGUAGCAAUACAUGCUGACGAGCGGCGAACGGGUGAGUAAUGCUUUGGAAUCUUCCCAGUAGUGGGGAAUAACCAGUCGAAAGAUUGGCUAAUACCGCAUACGUCUGUAAAGGGAAAGCGGGGGCUCGUAAGCCUCGCGCUAUUGGAUGAGCCAAAGUCGGAUUAGCUAGUUGGUGGGGUAAUGGCCUACCAAGGCGACAAUCCGUAGCUGGUCUGAGAGGACGACCAGCCACACCGGAACUGAGACACGGUCCGGACUCCUACGGGAGGCAGCAGUGGGGAAUAUUGGACAAUGGGGGAAACCCUGAUCCAGCGACGCCGCGUGUGUGAAGAAGGCCUGCGGGUUGUAAAGCACUUUUAGUGGGGACAAAAAGCUACGGAUUAAUACUCUGUGGUCUUGAUUUAACCCAAAGAAAAAGCACCGGCUAACUCUGUGCCAGCAGCCGCGGUAAUACAGAGGGUGCGAGCGUUAAUCGGAAUUACUGGGCGUAAAGCGCGCGUAGACGGUUUUGUAAGUCAGAUGUGAAAUCCCUGGGCUCAACCUGGGAACUGCAUUUGAGACUGCAUGGCUAGAGUAUGGAAGAGGGAAGUGGAAUUUCCGGUGUAGCGGUGAAAUGCGUAGAUAUCGGAAGGAACACCAGUGGCGAAAGCGACUUCCUGGUCCAAACUGACGUUCAUGUGCGAAAGCGUGGGGAGCAAACAGGAUUAGAUACCCNNGUAGUCC